UUAAUUUUUCAUAAAUAGAAAUUUUGUUCACGGUUAAUUUUAAUUUUGCGUGUCGAGGGUUACGGGGUGGCCCGUUGCCCAUGGCAUCCAGAGCCAAGGAAGUUCAGACGUGAAGAUUUAUUUCAAAUUUCCAAUCUCCAUAUUUCUCCCAGAGAUCACACAGAGACCUUUGUCUCUCUCUCUCUCUCUCUCGCUCAGGCAGAAUGGAAGCCGCAUCGCGGUGCUACUGCCACGCCCAUCUCUCGUUCUUGAUGAAGAAGAACGCAGCGGCUCCUUUUCCGGGUAGCGAGAGAAGAUCCAAGUACUCGGGCCAGUCCGUUAGAGCAAUUCCUGUACGGGUAUUGACGGUGGGCAAGAAGAGGUCUCAAGGGGUCCAACUUCUAGUCGAAGAGUACAAGGAGAAGCUCAAAAACUAUUGCAGCAUUGAGGACGUUCUCAUCAAAUCUAAUCCAAAGAAUACUGGCAACGUGAAGGCCCAGAUCCAAGCUGAAGACAUGCUUAUCAUGCAGCAAAUUAAGCCUGGAGAAUGGGUUGUUGUGUUGGAUGAACAUGGAGCAGACAUUAGAUCUGAGCAAAUGGCCGACUUGGUAGGAGAUGCAGUGACAACAGGAUCAUCAAGACUUGUGUUUUGCAUUGGUGGUCCAUAUGGUCAUGGGCUGCAAGUGCGCGAGCGUGCUGAUGUGAUCAUUAGAUUGUCCUCCAUGGUUCUAAAUCACCAGAUUGCAUUAAUAGUGCUACUGGAGCAACUGUACCGAGCAUGGACUAUUAUCAAAGGGCAGAAGUACCACCACUAACAUAGGCCAACAAAGUCAAAUAAAAGUUCGUGGGGUUUCCUAGUGGAAAUGUCGAGCAAAAAUAUUCUUGCUAGCUGUCUUUGCAGGCAAAGACCGAUGAUCCAGGAGGUGAGCAUGUUGCUUACGAGUUUCUGGGAUUACGAGCUUCCAAAGGAGAUAACAGUUUUCCCAGGACAAACAUAUAUUAAGCAAGUUAUACGUUUAAAGUUUAAAAGCACAAAUCAGAGAAAUGAUCUUGCCAAAAGAGGGGAAGAUGGAACAAUAUGAGAGGCUCGAUACUGAAAUGUAAUAACAUGACAGUAUUUUUUUUUUUUUUUAACUAGAAUUCAGAAUUGGUUGCUCAGAAAUUGGAAUGGGGCAACCGUUUAUACUUCCUUUUCACUGAAUAUAAACUAAAAUAUCAGUAGUUUCUGAUAAUUCAUUACCAGAAUUCAGAAUGCUAUAACAUCAUGCCAGGACAUCAAAAGUCGCUGAUGAUUUCUUAACUU